rnacentral:lncRNA from 1 species
ACUAUUUUCUAGUGAGGAAACCUAGGAAUGUAUAGAUUGUUGCGCCCAUAUUCGGAUGAAGGAUAAAGGUAUGUUUCUAAGCAAACCGUAUUAGUCUUUUGUUGCUACUUAUCUCUGUCGUAUCCAAAUGUCUUUUCGUUUGUGUUAUUGCAGAAAAUGACGCUAUGUAAAUUAGAACUGAAAUUACUGGGUAAAAUGGGGGAAAGCAACAAUGAAAACGUGAACACAUUUGCUGACGAAUGGGAAAAUGAAACAGAAUUUGAAGAAGCGAAUCCUUAGGUUUAACUCAACCACUAACAAUCAUCGAUUUCUCUGUUUCCCAAUCACAUAAUUCAAAUCUGAGUCCUACCUUGGAGGGAUGUCCUUUACUGCGACCUUGGACCAAUCAUACUACAUAUAUAUAUAUAUAUAUAUAUAUAUAUAUAUAUAUAUAUAUAUAUAUAUAUAUAUAUGUAUAUAUAUAGGUGAGAAAGUUGGUGUGUGAAAGCACGUGGUUGAAUAUAUAGAAAAUAGUAAAAAGUGAAAAAACUACAGAAGGCUUGUUUUAAAAGGUUAAAAAAUAUAUAUUUGAGUCAAUAUGUCUGAAGAAUGUUAUAAAUUUUUUUCAUACAAAAACCGGUCAUUUCUUCAAAAACUAUGUCAUUGUAUGAAAAAAAAUUUAUAACAUUCUUCAGACAUAUUGACUCAAAUAUAUAUUUUUUAACCUUUUAAACAAGCCUUCUGUAGUUUUUUCACUUUUUACUAUUUUCUAUAUAUACAUAUAUAUAUAUAUAUAUAUAUAUAUAUAUUACACGGGUAAUAACCAAGAGCGACUCUGGAUUUAAUUAUCGCUCUUGGUUAUUACCUGGGUAGGUACAGUUUUUUGUAAGUUUGUAUGGUAGAAGGUGGUGUGGUGGUACAUCGAAGUUUAGGUUAUAUAGGAGAAGAAAAUGGAUAUAACUUUGGCAAGCUCUUGGUUGUCGCUGGUAUACUCUUUACUCUUUUACUCUCUUUUAGUUGUUUCAGUCAUUUGAUGCGGCCAUGCUGGAGCACCGCCUUUAAUCGAGCAACUCGACCCCGGGAUUUAUUCUUUUGUAAGCCCAGUGCUUAUUCUAUCGGUCUCUUUUGCCGAACCGCUAAGUAACGGGGACAUAAACUCACCAGCAUCGGUUGUCAAGCAAUGCUAGGGGGACAAACACACACACACACACACACACACACACAUAUGCAUAUAUACAUACAUAUAUACGACAGGCUUCUUUCAGCUUCCGUCUACCAAAUCCACUCACAAGGCUUUGGUCGGCCCGAGGCUAUACUAGAAGACACUUGCCCAAGGUGCCACGCAGUGGGACUGAACCCGGAACCGUGUGGUUGGUAAACAAGCUACUUACCACACAGCCACUCCUGCGCCUAUAUAUAUAUAUAUAUGUGUGUGUGUGUGUGUGUGUGUGUGUGUGUGAGAGAGAGAGAGAGAGAGAGAGAGAGAGAGACUGUGUGUAUAUAUGUGUAUGUGUCCAACCACCUUUUGAAAACUGAUGUUGGUGUGUUUAGGCCCCUGUAUCCUAGAGGUUCAGUAAAAAAGACCUAUAGCAUAAAUACUAAGCUUAAAAAAAGAAUAAGCCAUUGGGUCGAUUUGUUCAAAUAAAAUCCUACAAGCUGGUGCCCCAGUAUGGUCGCAAUCAAACGACUGAAACAAACGAAAGAUAAAAGAUAUAUAAACCUAUAUAAAAUAAAGUCAGAAAUGUAAUAACUCUACCGCUGCUUGUUUUCUCUUCAUUUGUUUUGUGGGGGUCGGCUCUGAUUCCUCAGUAGGAUAUAUACUGUAUCUUCCACUAACCAGUUGGGAAUUUUUGUCGGUAUUCUGUACGCUUGCGCUUAUUUCUAUGUUAGUCCUUCGUGUUUUGCAGCAAUGGCCCAGUGGUUAGGGCAGCGGUUUCGAUUCCCAGACCGGGCGUUGUGAGUGUUUAUUGAGCGAAAACACCUAAAAGCUCCACGACGCUCCGGCAGGGGAUGGUGGUGAUCCCUGCUGUACUCUUUCACCACAACUUUCUCUCACUCUUACUUCCUGUUUCUGUUGUACUUGUAUUUCAAGGGGCCGGCCUUGUCACUCUCUGUGUCACGCUGAAUAUCCCCGAGAACUACGUUAAGGGGUACACGUGUCUGUGGAGUGCUCAGCCACUUACACGUUAAUUUCACGUGCAGGCUGUUCCGUUGAUUCGGAUCAACCGGAACCCUCAUCGUCGUAACCGACGGAGUUCUUCUCCUUGCAGCAAGUGUAUAUGGAUAAUAAUUAUUUAGGAUUUGAUUUAUUCUGGCGAUCCCCAUUAGUGAGCUUUGCUUGAGAGCUGCCUUGACACUGCUUCUUCGAACACUACCAUUUGUUGUUUUGCAUGUUCACUCCUUUUAUUUUUUCCUGAUAAUCAUGUUUCUCAUUAUUUCUCUUGUUAGACUUGAUAUUCUUCUAAACUUUUUCAACUUCAGUCCAAUAACUUAGAUACUUUAUUUUCUAUUGGUUGUGUUUCCGUUUAAAAAGUUCCUUUGCGUCUUUCUGUUUACAAAAUUCUCUCUCUCUCUCUCUCUCUCUCUCUCUCUCUCUAUAUAUAUAUAUAUAUAUAUAUAUAUAUAUAUAUAUAUAUAUAUAUAUAUAUAUAUCCGACUCCGUGGUGCUUAAUCUAGUACGUGUUUUUUCUGAUUCAUUUUGAUUAUAGAGACGCUUUCUUUCUGUGGUAUCUUGAAUUAUUAUUUUUCUUCUUAAAAUUGUAUCUUGCUUUUCUACAUUCGACAUUUAUUUCCUUCCAAAUCUCACAGACAAUCGACAAUUCACAUCUCAGAUGAUUAAUUUCUUUCUGUAUUUUUGACUUUUCUUCUCCGGUUGUUUGUUGACAUGUCUGUUCAUUUCUUUUUAUAUUUCAAUUCCAAUUUGCUUUCCCAAAGCAUUGGCCGUACAUCAUAAGAUGUUACCGAUGGUUGUUAGAUCAACUUCACCAUUUCACAGUUUUCCAUUAAUUGCUGUAGUAUACAGUUGAAAAUUGUGUUUUCCUUAUUGCUUUGAAUAUUCGACAGUUGGUCUCGAUACUUCUUUUCAGUGUUUAGAGAUACAUUCAAUUCUCUAACGAUAACUUCCUUGCUACUACAAAGUCUAAAUAACAUGCAUAUUACCUUCAUUUGUUUGCAUUUGAGAUUUAUAUCUAUUGUAUUUGUAGAUUCGCAUCUUCUUUAUUCACUGAUAAGAUCCUUAUCUCUCUCUAUAUAAACGGCAGUUUGUCUGUGUGUGUUUCUGUGUGUCUGUUUGGUUGUACCCUCACCCUGACCACGGCUUUCAACCGAUUCUGAUGAAACUUGACACACACAUAGCCCAAUGUCAUAAUUCAAAACUAACGCUGCGAAAAUUUUGAAAAGUUCCCCCAGUUCUGAAAAAAAUCGAUAAAUUCGACAUGGGGUCGAGAAUCAGAAACACAAACCACAGACUGUCUAGGGGACGCAACUCGACCCUUUUUAACUCUCAAAAAAAAUUUACCAUCAUUUUUUUUCCAUUUUUUUGCUAUUUUUUGGCUAUAACUCUCUAAAAAUGCUUUAUAGUUAUUUCCCUUACAAAUCCCUUACAGAACUGGGGGAACUUACAAAUCGGAGCAACGCCGGGCGAUACUGCUAGUCAGUGAAUAUACGCACAAAGGAUAUAUACGGAGAUACCUCUUUGUACGAGUUUAAUUCGUUCCAUGACCAAGUUGGUCACAUGAUUUACUCCCUCUACAGAUCAACUUUCGUCAUUGAAAUCAAAUAAAUAUUCUUAAUCCCUUCCAGACCCCAAAAGCCAUUCAAAAUUAAUUGUCUGUGGGUUUUAAAGCAGAAAAAGGGGUGGAUCUUUUCCUUUUGAACGGCACAUGUCAACACAAUUUCUAGUUAACUAAACACUUUAAAACUUCGUAUACUGGUAGAAAGCGUGUGUAUAAAAUUAUAGAAUUAUUUUGUUUGUUAAUUGUUCAAAUUAUUUUCCAUUGCUUUCGUUUUAGCCUUUCGUUUUUUUUACACGCGUAAAAAUUAAAUUAAUUUAACAAUUAAGAAAAAAAAAUUAGGGUUAGGUUUAUGGUUGAGGGUGAGGGUUAGGGUUAGUGACAGGAUGUUGUCUCAGUUUUAGACGCAGCAAAUGAUUUUAGCUAAACAGAGGCGAUUCAUUGGUCAAAUUCGAAAAAUUAAACUACGUUAAUCUUACAAAUUACAAUUUUCUCAAGAAAGCCAAGAGAUAAAAAUGUUUUAUUUUGACACAUUCUACCAGUAUACGAAGUUUUAAAGUGUUUAGUUAACUAGAAAUUGUGUUGACAUCUGUCGUUCAAAAGGAAAAGAUCCAAAUGAGUUGUUACAAGUAAAUUCUUUUAGCACUCCGUCGGUUGCGACGAUGAGGGUCCCAGCUGAUACGACCAACGGAACAGCUUGCUCGUGAUAUUAACGUGCAAGUGGCUGAGCACUCCACAGACACGUGUACCCUUAACGUAGUUCUCUGGGAGAUUCAGCGUGACACAGAGAGUGACAAGGCCGGCCCUUUGAAAUACAGGUACAAUAGAAACAGGAAGUAAGAGUGAGAGAAAGUUGUGGUGAAAGAGUACAGCAGGGUUCACCACCAUCCCCUGCCGGAGCCUCGUGGAGCUUUAGGUGUUUUUGCUCAAUAAACACUCACAAUGCCCGGUCUGGGAAUCGAAACCGCGAUCCUCCGAUUGCGAGUCCGCUGCCUUAACCACUGGGCCAUUACGUUUCCACCAAGUAAAAUGGCAAUUAUAAAAAAGAGAAUGCAACAAUUGUUUCAAUUUCGAUUGCAUUAACAUAUACAUACACAUAUGUUUCUACACACACACACACACUCGCACUCACAUGCACACAUACACACGCAAUAUUAUUUAAACUCUUUUACUCUUUUGCUCUUUUUCUUGUUUCAGUAAUUUGAGUGUGGCCAUGCUGGAGCACCACCUUUAGUCGAGCAAGUCGACUCCAGGACUUAUUCUUUGUAAGCUUAGUACUUAUUCCAUCGGUAACUUUUGCUGAAACCGCUAAGUUAAGGGGACAUAAACACGCCAGCAUCGGUUGUCAUGUGAUGUUGGGGGGACAAACAGACAUACACACACAUAUAUAUACAUAUAUACGACGGCCUUCUUUCUGUUUCCCUCUACCAAAUGCACUCACAAGGCUUUGGUCGGCCCGACGCUAUGGUAGAAGACACUUGCCCAAGGUACCACGCAGUGGAACUGAAACCGGAACCAUGUGCUUCGUAAGCAAGCUACUUUAUUUCAUAAAAUUUGUCAUUAUAGACAGUAGAAAGAGUGUGUAGCUUUGCGGGCUGGACAAACACAUUAAUGAAUGAAAACGAAAUCUCUCUCUAUAUAAACGGCAGUUUGUCUGUCUGCGUGUCUGUGUGUCUGUCAGGUUGUACCCUCACUCUGACCAUGGCUUUCAACCGAUUCUGAUGAAACUUGACACACACAUAGCCCAAUGUCAUAAUUCAAAACUAACGCAGCGAAAAUUUUGAAAAGUUCCCCCAGUUCUGAAAAAAAUCGAUAAAUUCGACAUGGGGUCGAGAAUCAGAAACCCAAACCACAGACCGUCUAGGGGACGCAACUCCACCUUUUUUAACUCUCAAAAAAAUUUACCAUCAUUUUUUUCCAUUUUUUUGCUAUUUUUUGGCUAUAACUCUCUAAAAAUGCUUUAUAGUUAUUUCCCUUACAAACCUGAGCAACGCCGGGCGAUACUGCUAGUAAAAUGAAUAAAUGAGAGACGAAACCCAAAUCCCGUCGAUUGGAUUUUUCCCGAAAACAUAUUUUCUCUUUUUUAAAAAAAUCAAUAUGAGGUUUCAAAUCUCUUACAAGAAGGAGGCACUAAAACCUCUUACUUAACAUUUAUAUAUAUUUUUUUAACACACAAUUAAGUUUAUAAACCACUACAAAUAAUACAAUAAGAGGUGCACGAGUUGCUGUGUGGUAAGUAGCCUGCUUACCAACUACAUGGUUCCGGGUUCAGUCCCACUGCGUAGCAUCUUGGGCAAGUGUCUUCUACUAUAGCCUGGGGCCGAUUAAAGCCUUGUGAGUGGAUUUGGUAGACGGAAACUGAAAGAAGCCCGUCGUAUAAAUAUAUAUAUAUAUAUAUAUAUAUGUGUGUGUGUGGGUGUGGGUGUGGGUGUGUGUGCAUGUUUGUGUGUCUGUGUUUGUCCUCCUAGCAUUGUUUGAAAACCGAUGCCGGUGUGUUUACGUCGCCGUCACUUAGAGGUUCGGCAAAAGAGACCGAUAGAAUUUGCUCGACUAAAGGCGGUGCUCCAGCAUGGCCGCAGUCAAAGGACUGAAACAAGUAAAAAAAGAGUAAAGGAGUAAGAUGAGGUUUCAAACCUUAUAACGAGUCUUUCACCUCCUACUCUUCGAUAUAUCCAUCGAUAUAUUCAUCAUUAUCUUCAAUGCCGCUUGAGUUCCUGUAUCAGCUACUUACCACAGAGCCACUCCUACGCCUAAUAAUGAUAUGUACGAAACUUUAUAUACUCUUUACUCUUGCCCAAUAACUGAAAGAGUAAGAGAGUAAAGAGUAUAUAAAUGUUUCAGUAAUUUGUCUGUGGCCAUGCUGGAACACUGCCUUUAGUCGAGCAAAUCGACCCCGGGACUUAUUCUUUGUAAGCCCAGUACUUAUUCUAUCGGUCUCUUUUGCCGAACCGCUAAGUUACGGGGACGUAAACACACCAGCAUCGGUUGUCAAUCAAUGCAAGGGGGACAAACACAGACACACAAACACAUACACACACAUACAUAUAUAUUUAUAUAUAUAUAUAUAUAUAUAUAUAUACGACAGUUUCCGUCUACCAAAUCCACUCACAAGGCAUUGGUCGGCCCGGGGCUAUAGCAGAAGACACUUGCCCAAGAUGCCACGCAGUGGGACUGAACCCGGAACCAUGUGGUUAGUUAGCAAGCUACUUACCACACAGCCACUCCUGCGCCUAUAUAUGUACGAAAUUUAUAUAUAUGCCCGCGUGCGUGCUCAUAGACAUAUUUUCAUUAACGUAUUAUGUGUGUUUGUUCUUGUGAUUGUAUACUUAUUCGGUGUUCUUUGUUAUAUGUCUGUUGCGUUUUUUAUGCCAUUGAACCUAAUGUACGUAUUUCUGAUUAGACUGCCUUUGAUCUCUUUGUAUUGAAUUAGCAUUAUAGAAUUUCCAUGUUUCACAGCUGCUUAGAAAAUCGUAUUUUGACCCUUCAGGGUGUAUAUAUUUCGUUUAACUGCAAGGAAUUCAUAGACAACAUUUGGAUACGACGUCUUGUCCAUCGGUUUAUUUAGGAAUGCAAAUUGAAUUUACAUAGAUUAGAUUUGUAGAUUGAAUUAAUAGAAAUUAUUGUAUUAUUUACAAGAUCUCUGUUCUAAAUUUUAUUCCAUUGGAUGUCAGGCGCAGAUAAAUAUUGGUUACAAGUACCAAUAUAUUGAUUACUAAUUAAUUUAAUUUGGGUUUUGAUUCAGGAUAUAAUAAUAAUAAUAAUUGCCCAUAUUGAGGUUAAUUUGAUUUUAAGUCUUUUUGUUUAAUAUUUCUAAAUCUUAUUUGUUCUCUUUUCCUAGUUGCCUAAAUAAUUUUUCUCUCCUACACAUCGUCAUUUAUUUUUCCUGGUUGAUUCCAUUUAUGGCGGAUACUCAGUUUUCUUCAAGUAAAAUUUGAAUAAAUAUAUCUCUUUUGUAUUAUUAAAUCUCAGAACGAGAUGUAAGCAGUGACCGCUCGACAAUGUAAAGUAUAAUAGCCAUCUCAAUAUGGCUAACCACAAAAGGGGGUGUUACUGUAGCUUUUUAUCCCCAGGAGAUCAUCAUCUCCAGCUGGCUUAAGGCACACUAUCUGUGCCCUUAUGGUAUUUGCAAAGGGAGGCCAUCCCUUUCUUGUAAGCCUAAGUGAUAUGCACCGGACCGCGGUUUCGAGGUUAUUGCCUCUUAACCUCGUAACCUCAUAAACUCGAAACCACGGUCCGGUGCGUAUCACUUAGGCUUACGAGAAAGGGAUGGCCUCCCUUUGCAAAUACCAUAAGGGCACAGAUAGUGUGCCUAAAGCCAGCUGGAGACGAUGAUCUCCUGGGGCUAAAAAUCUACAGUAACAACCCCUUUGUGGUUAGCCAUAAUGAGAUGGCUGUUAUACUUUACAUUAUCACUUUUGGUUCCACAAAAAAGCAUCUCAAAUUUCUAACCGCUCAAUUUAGAAACUGUUUUUCAACUAUGGCGGUGUACAGUGUGAUAUCCAUAUAGCUUUACUUCAGAAAUCGCGUAAUAUAUUCAUAUAUUCGUCAUCAUACAAUAAGUUUUAUUAUCUUAUCUUGGAACUACCGUCAUUUUCUUCCACAUGUUUUCUUUUACCAUUUUUAAGAUCUGCCACUCUUUGCUAUUAGAUUUAGGUUUGUCCUAACUUCUAUUGUAUUGGACGUAUUUUUCUUAAUAUGUGAGUGACGUUUAUCUAUCUAUCUAUCUAUCUAUCUAUCUAUCUAUCUAUCUAUCUAUCUAUCUAUCUAUCUAUUUAUCUGCCUAUCUAUCUGUCUAUCUAUCUAUCUAUCUAUCUAUCUAUCUAUCUAUCUAUCUGUCUGUCUAUCUAUUGAUCUAUCUAUCUAUCUAUCUAUCUAUCUAUCUAUCUAUCUAUCUAUCUAUUGAUCUAUCUAUCUAUCUGUCUAUAUGUCUAUCUAUUUAUCUAUCUAUAUCUCUAUCUAGCUAUCUAUGUGUCAGUCUAUCUGUGUGUCUGUCAGCCAGUCAGUUCGUCUGUCUGUCUGUCUGCUUCUCUAUCUCUCUCUCUCUCUCUCUCUCUCUCUCUCUCUAUAUAUAUAUAUAUAUAUAUAUAUAUAUAUAUAUAUAUAUAUAUAUAUAUAAUAUAUAUAUACAUAUAUAAUUUUUAGCUUUCCCUUGCUUCCCGCAUGUGACUAUGCUGGUGCACCGUCUUGAAGGAUUAUUUUGUGAAAUUAGCAUUUAUUAUAUCGGUUUAUUUUACCGAACCGCUAGGUUACGGAAAAUAUACACUACAGCACUGGUUAUCAAGCGGUGGUGGCGGACGAACACAAACUCAAAGAUGCACACACACACACACACACACACACACAUAUAUAUAUAUAUAUUGAGAGAGAGAGAGAGAGAGAGGACAGGCUUCUCUCAAGUUCCCGUCUUCCAAAUCCACUCACAAGGCUUUGGUCGGCCGAGGUUAUAGUAGAAGACACUUGAGAAAGGUGGAAGCAUGUGUUGGGAAGCAAGCUUCUUACCGCACAACCAUGAUAUAUAUAUAUAUAUAUAUAUAUAUAUAUAUAUAUAUAUAUAUAUAUAUAUAUAUAUAUAUUAUGAUCAUUAUGUUAAUUUUAUUUUCAAUUCCUGCAUGCUUUGUAUAUUUAUACGUCCUAGAUUUUAACUCUGAAGUUCUAGCUUCUUUCGUCUUGUGGUUUACCGCUUCUCAGGAAGACGGCUAUUGGUAUGGGAACCACUGGUGUUCGAAAAUCAUAUCAUUCUGUAUGUUUAUAUCUCCAGAUUUUAGAUGUAACUAUAUCCGUGUCAGUUUAGAUGAUCAUCGUAUUUUCUUUCCUCUUGUUCAGCUAUCAAUUUAAAAUCCUUUUCUUAUUUACCUUCAUAACAAUAUCUGACCACUGCCACGAAAUUGUCAAUAUUGGAUACUUACCAUAUUUCCGAAUACCAUUGUCUUCUCGUUUGCAAUUCCAUCUAGAUUUUCAUUAUUUAUAGGAUAUGAUCCUGAGAGUAUUGCUUAAUGCUGACAUAAUGUCCGGUGUUUUUGGAGCAUAGGAUUUUUUUUUAUAGUCUAAGCAUAUUCGUUUCUGAAGAAAGAAUGUGAUUGAUUCCUCAAAAUCUCUAAAUAUUUAUUCACUGUUACAUAAUUUGUUUCUCUUCUUUUCAUUGUUUUUGUCUGUUCUAAGAGAAAGUGUUUGCUCUGAUAUCGCAAAACAAUUUUGUGUUUCAAAAUUACCUGCUCCACAUAUCAGCAAUUCUUCAUAUUUUUGUUUAUCCCCUACUCUUUUGUUCAGUUAUAUCUGGCUUACUCCAAGAUUUAUUGCAGGCACCAUCUGUAUAUGACGAUUGGUAGCAACAUAUGAAAAUUAAUUUUUAAGACAUUUUAUCAACUUUGCAUUGUUAUUUCCCAGUUGUCUCAUAAAAGUAUCUUACUUCGACCAUUGUUCGAUAUUCGCUCGUUUCUUUUAAUACAGAACUAAUUUUGUAUUUUCGAAAUAUCUUCUAGUUCUUUUUUGUAUUAUUCUUUUUUUAGUCUUUACAAUACGCUUUUCUUGUCAUGCUUUCAUGUAGUAGACAGUAUAUAAUAAACUACUGUUUGCAGAAUAUACCACCUGUCUAAACGAAUUCUUGGAAAUAUUCAUCUUUCCUUGCCUGAGUUCCAGUAGUGCAUUCAAAAUGCAGUCUUUAAUUUUUUACUUUCCUGUCUGGGCGUAUAAAUUUAACCGCCGUUUGGGAAUAACUAUAAAUUGUUAUCGGGACAGCUGUAGAAUCGAUGAAUAUUAGCUUAUCUUCUGCACUUAAAUAUUUUCUAGUUUAAGUGCAAUAUGUCUAUCAUAUUUGCUUUGAAAUUGAUGUAUGUAUUGUACGCUGUCUUGUUCAAUGAUUUCAAUCUAUUCACCGUUGUUUUGAUUCUGUUCUAUGUGUUUCUUCACCGAAGUGGAUAUUGUUUAUUAAUUUUAUUCUCUUCAUGUUUUCUCAAUUGCAUUCCUUUAAAACGAAGACCAAAUCAAUCGUUCAACAGAAACCAUGUAAUAUCUAUAAUAUUGCUUCAAAUUUUUCACCGUAUCUUUUCCCUUUUAUUAUUUACUUAUUCCAGUCAUUGUACUACCUUCGUGCUGGUAUACCGCCUUGAGGGAUUUGGACAAAGAAAUCAUUACAAUACUUAUUUUGUGAAGUCUGGCAUUUAUUCUAAUUGUCACUGUUCUUAGACCGUAAAGUUACGGGUACCUAAACAAUCUAACACCAUGUUUCAAUGGAUGAGUGAGGGAAAAACUCAAGAAACACGAAGACAUACUCAUAUACAUCAUAUACAUAUACUCACACACACACACACACACAGAGGCACACAUAUAUGAUGAGCUUCUUUCAGUUUCCAUCUACUGAAUCUAAUUGCACAUUUUGGACAGCUCAUGGCUAUAUUAAGAGGCACUUGCCAGAAGAGUAACACAGUGAGAAUAAACACAAGAUCACAUGGCUGGGAAGCAGAACGCUUACCCAGGCAUCUAGGCCUGCCCCCAUGCAACAUAUAAAAUAAUAUCUAUAGAAUAUACACGAUAUACUCCUGUGAAAAUCACAUUGAUAUGCUGGUCAAAUGCACUGACGCUUUGUAGUAAUGUAAUAGAACAAAUAAGUUCAGUUCGACUUCUUCAAGGUUUGUAAAGAUGGUAUUAAUUUUCGUAGUAUUUGACGUAAGGCGCGUGGCUUAGUGGUUAGGGUAUUCGGCUCACGAUUGUAAGGUCGUGAGUUCGAUUCCCGGCGACGCGUUGUGUCCUUAAGCAAGACACUUUAUUUCACGUUGCUCCAGUCCACUCAGCUGGCAAAAACGAGUUGUACUGUAUUUCAAAAAGGGCCAGCCUUGUCCCAUUCUGUGUUACACUGAAUCCCCUUCAGAACUACAUUAAAGUUACACGUGUCUGUGGAGUGCUCAGCCACUUACACGUUAAUUUCACGAGCAAGCUGUUCCGUUGAUCGUAUCAGCUGGGGCCAUCGUCGUCGUAACCGACGGAGUGCUCCUAUGACGUAAAUACUUAGUAUUAGAGGUACAUUAUUCAAGACAGCUGUCAUAGUCGUUUGUUGAGGAACACUCUGAAAAACAUUCUAGAACGUAUGGUAUUGCUUUUAUACCAUGGUAAGACGAAAUUCCUCACCUCAUAUAAUUAUGUGUCUUUAUAUAUGUAUAUAUAAAAAUGGAUUAGUGGUUAAGGUGUUGUGGGUUCUAUUCCAGGGUAGCGCAUUGUGUUCUUGAGCAAAACAAUUCAUUCCACGUGUCUCCACUCCACCCAUCUGCAAAUGGUUAACCCUGCGAUGGAAUGGCUUCCAGCUCAGGAGACAUGUUGGCCUGUUCGCUUAUCCAGGGCGUUAAAACAAUGCGAAGCCCUCUGUGACUAGCUCUGUAUGACGACAUCCAAUAAUCUGGUUAAUACAGUGAUACCCUGAUAUAUACUCAUAUAUAAUGUGUAUGUGUGAAUGAAUGUAUGUGAGUGCGUGUGUGCGCGCGUGUGUUUGUCUAUGUGUGCGCGUGUGUAUUUGUGAAUUGCCUCGUUAGCAAAGUUAAUAUCUAAAAGCGGUAAUCGUACACUAGCGAAUGUUAUACAAUUUCUGUAUAAACUCGGCAAAUGAUUUUUUUACUUCAAACUAUAUUGUCACAUGUAUGUUUGUUGUCGAAAGAUUGGUGUCUUGCAAGGAGAAAAACUUUCUAUAUUUUACCACAUGUGUUACAGUAAGAUUUAAUAUCUCUCUAUAAUAAAUAGAAUUUGCGCAAGUUUUAUCGUGUUAUUACAGGCAGUGAUUACGAUGGGUUAAGACCGAAUCUAUAAAUUCUGUUCUUAUUGAAAGAUGAACAUUGUGAGGAUCGCUUUUAUUAGCCGUGGGGUAGAAAGGGCUCCUUAGCCGUAGUGAAAGCAAUCUAUCUAGGGAGAUAACCUUACAAUAAAUCACUCGGUCCGUAGCUUAGAAAUACUGGGUUGACGUCCAGCGGGAACAGCUUUGUUUCAUGGAGGAGGAAAGAUCUUCUUUAGUACUUGGUUGUACAAUGCUUUCCAAUGUGUGUAGUAGUGGCGCGCGCACACAUUAUUAGACAUUUGAAAAGACUAUGAAAGUCUCGACCACGGUCGAACAAUGAUGAUGAUGAUCAGUGUACAUUUAUUUUAGAAUUUAUGUAGAGAAUUUAUUUUGUAAAUACUCUCUCUCUCUUUUACUCUUUUACUUGUUUCAGUCAUUUGACUGCGGCCAUGCUGGAUCACCGCCUUUAGUCGAGCAAAUCGACCCCAGGACUUAUUCUUUGUGUAAGCCCAGUACUUAUUCUAUGGGUCUCUUUUGGCGAACCGCUAAGUGACGGGGAUGUAAAUACACACCAGCAUCGGUUGUCAAGCAAUGCUAGGGGGCCAAACACAGACACACAAACACACACACACACACAUAUAUAUAUAUAUAUAUAUAUAUAUACAUAUAUACGACAGGCUUCUUUCAGUUUCCGUCUACCAAAUCCACUUACAAGGCAUUGGUCGGCCCUGGGCUAUAGCAGAAGACACUUGCUUAAGAUGCCACGCAGUGGGAUUGAACCCAGAACCAUGUGGUUGGUUAGCAAGCUACUUACCACACAGCCACUCCUGUGAAUAUGCGUUAUAAUGUAGAAAUUAUGAGAGUUAUGUGGUGUAACAGAAUGAGCCAAAUGGCAUUUUUCGUGUUUCGGAACGCAUGGGAAUACUCCUGGAACAAAAGGCGCCAAAGUAAAACAAAUUUCACCUCCAAGAACAUGUAGCAAGUUUAUCUGUUAACCCGUACUAUUUUUUUUAUUACCCACAGGGGGCUAAACAUAGAGGGGACAAACAAGGACAGACAAACGGAUUAAGUCGAUGAUAUCGACCCCAGUGCAUAACUGGUACUUAUCUAAUCGACCCGGAAAGGAUGAAAGGCAGAGUCGACCUCAGCGGAAUUUGAACUCAGAACGUAGCGGCUGACGAAAUACUGCUAAGCAUUUUGCCCGGCGUGCUAACGAUUCUGCCAGGUCGCCGCCUUAUCUGUUAACACGUACGCCAUUAAUUUAGCUCUUUUCAGAAUUCGAGCAUUGCGCUUAUAUACAGAAAUAUCAUUGAAUAAAUACUUGGAUUCUCCGUAAAGUAUCUUAUAUCUACGGAGUAUUUAACAGCAAAUAUAGGCAACUCUUACUUGAUAAAAAUAAUUAGUUUUUACUGAAAGAACAUUGCACAAAACUACAAUGAUACAAAUGACACAUCAAUACCCAUAACUAUACAAAACUAUACAAUCAAAUUAUACAAAACGAUACUAUGUCUAGAUUAAUGAAAUGCUUGUCACUCAAAGUAUAACAUCGUAAUCUUCACUAAUAUCCUUAACAGCUGAUUACAGAUAUGAGCACAAUACCACGGCCAACCAUUGUUCAUUCUAAAGAUAACGAAUAGUAUCUUAGAAAAGAAAACUAGUUAUCAACAAUAUAGCAUCAGUUAUAGUGUUAUUUCUGGCUCAGAAUAAAACUAUAAUAUUUCAGCUUUCAAAUGAUGCCACUGCGCUGGCAAGGGGAGCAUCGUAUCAUUUCCUCAUGAUCGGAAGGGUGUUCCAUCGUAAGGUUCUCAUUAGAACUGAGUUAACUGGUGCAAAGUGAAAUGAAAUGUUUUGCUAAAGAACACAACGGGAAUUGAACUCUCGAUUACUAGAUAUUGAGUGAAAUACCCUAACUACCAGCCCAUGCGCCCACAUAUAUAUAUACACAAUACAUAUAUACACAUACACACGCACACACACACAUAUACAUACGUACAUACAUACAUAUAUAUAUAUAUAUAUAUAUAUAUAUAUAUAUAUACCGGAGUAAGCACAUAAAUGUGAAACGAGGUGGAAAAAAGAGUACUCAAAUACCAGAGAUAGGGUAAUAUGUUUCAUUUAAAAGCAGCAGAAAGAUAACAAAAGCUGUUACUCAGAGUUUCACGUUCCCGUACGUCGGACAAUUUUAUUUUUAAAAAAUAUGGUUGAUUACAAAAAGUGUUUUUUUAACAAAAUUGUCCGACGAACGGGAACGUGAAACUCUGAGUAACAGCUUUUGUUAUAUUUCUGCUACUUUUGAAUAAUAAUAUAUAUAUAUAUAUAUAUAUAUAUAUAUAUAUAUAUAUAUAUAUAUAUAUAUAUAUAUAUGCGUGAGUGUGUGUACUAAAGAUAUUUGCUUCCAAAUUUUGGCAGAAGAACAGCUAUUUUGGCGGGUGGCUUAAGUCGAUUUUAUCGACCCCAAUGCUCAACUGGUACUUAUCCUAUAGGCCGCGAAAGAAAGUAAAUAAAGUUGAUCUCAAUGGAAUUUGAACUCAGAAUAUAAAACACACAAGAUGCUGCUACCUUGUUGCUCAUCGCCUUAUACAUGCGCAAGAUAUUGAAGAAUAAUGUUUUGCAGAAUCUAAUACCUUUCUUCGAUGAAUACAUGUUUGAAUUGUGCAUUCCAUAUCAUGGUCUGCACUUCGAAUUUAGUAAUGGAAAACCAUCAGAAAUUUAGUAUUUAAAUAUUAGUAACUAGUCUUAUCUUUGUUGAUAACUAAUGUCCACAACGCAGAAAAUAAACGCGCAUUAAUGCCUUUGUAACCGCCAUAUAACAAUUGAACGAUUUGCCAUUCAGAUAAUUUUUCAAUCUCAAGUGUACAAUAUAGUAACCUUUACUCUGACCCGUCUGAAGUGUUAUGCUAUUUCUUUAUUCCCCGAUACGACAACCUCCUCAUUGUUUUAAUAUUUUAACUAACAGAAAAUUGAUUCAAUGCUCUGUCGUUACAGACCAGAAAUACGUCUCGCCUAAUAAACAUUUUGUAAUCAACCAUAUCUCUAUAAGAAGAUAUUGAAUAGAACUUCCAACUAACUUUUAGGUUAGUUACAACCGCACCUACAAAUGAAGAAAUUAAGAUUCGCAUCAAUAGGCUAGUCAAUAUCUGAGUACCAAAAAGGUUACAUAAGUCUGUUGAAACAUGCCCGUUAACCAGGAACACAAUUCAAAGUUAAUGGCGUACGAAGUUGAAAAGAUUUCAGCAAUUCUAUAGAGACGAAAAUCAAGGAAAUGCUUCAUAUAGUUCACCAUGAGUUCAAUCAACGUUAUUUCAAAGUUAUUUCUUUAGAUACACAGAUAAGCGAACUACAUCUGGUUCCAUUUCAGUGUAUGCAGAACAAUAACAGUGUUAAUGAGAUCAAAGGAGAAACUGUAGAAAUAUCACACCACAGGGCUGCAAUUUGUCUGUGUGUUGUAUACUGAAAAGAUAAAAAAAUGAACAUAUAUAGGGAUAAAAGAAAACAUCGUGGAAAGUUAUUUGUCACAUCACACAAAAGUAUCACCACACAUACAAAAACAAACAAAAUUCACACUUUAUAUGCAUGGCUACAUAUAUACUUAUAUACAUACGUAUUGCAUGCGCCCACAUGAAUCUCUCUCUCCCUCUCUUUUUCUCUCUUUCACUCUCAUGCUCUCUCUCUUUAUAUAUAUAUAUAUAAUACACCUGUGCAUACUUCAUGCAUGCAAGGAUGCAUGUUUAUACACACACACACACAAAUUUGGGAUGUACUGGAAGUGGACGAAAAAAUUAUUUAUCUCGGCAUAUGGAACUUAUACAAUACACACACAGGUAUAUACAUUUAUCAGGCUCCACCUACCUCAGUUAUUUGCAAUUAUGAAAUGUAUAGAUACCAUAUAUUUUCGGAGUGAGUGAUGAUUUGAAAUCCCGAAAGCAGUUCAUAAUAAUUCAGUAUAAAAUAAAAUAAAAUAUAAUACACGUUUCAGGUGGUUCUCAGGCGUAUAUGUAUAUAAUUGGUUAAAGCCAUGUUGCGUAUGUUUCUUGUUGCGUGUGAUCAGCGUGCAAAACCAUUUUUCUAAGCACACUCUCACAUAACUGUGUGUUCUAAGAAUAAAAUAAUACAUAUGUAAAGGCAACUAUGUAUACAUAUCAAAUAUGAUGCAACACCAAUUUGUUUCAGUGAGUAGGUCGCAGUUUCAAGCUUCGAAUAAUUUGAAAUCAUAGUUUAUAUCUUUAUAUAUAAAAGUGAAGUUGUGUGUCUGUCUCCUACGAUUUAGAUUCCUAACUACUCCCACAUUUUGCGGUGCAGUUUAACCAAAACCGGGUAUCUUAUAGUCGUGAUUCAUAUCGAGCCCUUCUGGGUAUUAGUGCGCGUCUACGAUGAGUCUACGAUUUAAAAAAAAAUUACCAUCAUUUUUUCCCAUUUUAAAUGCAUUUCUUUGCUAUUAUAUAAGGGAAGUAAACUCUCUAAAAAUGUAUUAUUAAAUCCCAGAACGUAAAAAGCUACAGUAACACCCCCCUUUGUGGUUAGCCAUAUUGAGAUGGCUAUUAUACUUUACAUCUCUAAAAAUAUUUAUAUAGUUAUUUCCCUUACAAACCUGAGCAACGCCGGGCGAUACUGCUAGCAUAUAUAUAUAUAUAUAUAUAUAUUAGUGAAACAAACGUUCUACUUGUGUUUCUGAUAAGGUAACGUCUGUCUUUCAGGCCGCAAAUGCUUUAAUUUCAACACAUAGACAAAUUUAGAUGAAUCCUAAAUCCACUUUAUAUACAUUUGCGCUGUCUCGCUGUAAGUACAACGGUAAGCACUGUUAUAUUAAAAGUAGACCGCGUGAGGAAAAAAUCACUGUCGAACUCCAAACUUCUCAGUAGCAGUCAUAUACGUCUAAAUCUACGCGCAAGAUAUACAAUGUACACGCAAAAACAAAUAUAACUACAUACGUAUCCCCGCCCCUAUACAUAUAUAUAUAUGUAUGUAUGUAUGUAUGUAUGUAUGUAUGUAUGUAUGUAUGUAUGUACACACACACACACACACACACACACACACACACACACACAUAUAUAUAUAUAUAUAUAUAUAUAUAUAUAUAUAUGGCAACUGAAUAAUUGUCACAUAUAUUAAUUCCUCUAUUUACAUAAUAUCGAGGUCUCUUUCAUUCUUUUGUUGUUUUACCAUUACACUAUAUAUAUAUAUAUAUGUGUGUGUGUGUGUGUGUGUGUGUUUCAGGUCAUCUGUUUGGUAUAAUAAUCUCGAGAAUCGUUUUAUUAAUCCACCGUUACCAUACAUGGUUGGUUAUAUAUGUUGUCAGAAUCACUGACAUCACAGAAUCUUUAAAUAUGAUCUUUAUCAAUUUGGGACGUAGUGCCGAUUAUGAAGGCUUGGGAUAUUGUAUGCUAUGUAUCGGAUUGUUGAUUGAACUGUCUUCCGACUGCGCCCCCUAUGGUGAUUGACUUGUCUGAUACGAGGCUAUGUGUCUGGGAGAACAUGAUCAUGAACGCUUGGUUUCUUUUAACAUUAUAAGAAGUCGCAGAUUUUGGAUGGAAGACGUACGGUUUUCUCUUGCGUUUCCUGUCUACCAAGGGCCUGAUAACCUUCUCCAACACCUCUGUUUACACAGUCAUUAAUUCUUAAGCUCUGUAAAACGCUUGGAGGAAGUAUGAUAUCUCACUCAUUGAUAACAACCCUAAAAGCCAUCACAGAUGUUGGGAACCUAGUACGCACGACCGUUGGAACCUCAUUUGAGUUUCUGCAUGACCAUAUGCCGUUCCAUUGGUUUAACGUUCGUCUUACUCGGAGACUUUCUCAUUAUUAGAAAAACACCCAAAAGUUUUCGCGUUCUGUUUUUUUUUAAAUUCAGGGAGCACUUUCUACGGAUGAAACAAUUAUCUCUUGUCACAUCCGAGAUAAACUGACCCCUAACAUGUUACUUUUAUUAGGGAAUAUCCUUUUUUAGAAGAUAUCCCCAUCUGAUCUUGCACUCUGAAACUUUGAGGUUUUUUGCAAUGCAUCUGACCGACUCAUCAAUUAUUUCUUUUUGCUCAAAGUUAUGUGUUCUAAUAGCAUUAGGGCCCUGUGCAUGCACUUUGCGUUUAGCUGGUGAUGCAAGUUCACCAUCAGGCCCCUUUGAACUUCGACCACGACGGAUUGGGCAACUUUCAAGAAGCAAGCUAUCCCUAUAUCACUGCGAUGCGUUUUUAAGGCAACGGUUACAGUAUAAUAUGUCAUUUGCUGAGUGAACCUCAUGUCUGACGUUAUUUAUCUAAAACGCAAGGUCAUAAAAUAAGUUAGAAGAAAGCUAUCGUGAAAGGGAUGUACUCGAAUAAACUGACGUAUCCCUGAUAUAAAUAUAUAUGUGUGUGUGUGUGUGUGUGUGUGUGUGUGUGUGUGUGUGUGUGUGUGUGUGUGUGCGUGUGUGUGACCGCGUGUGUAUCGUUGGCGAUUUUUUCCUCUGCUUUCCCUUCCUUGGAUAUUUCCCUUUCCUAUGUUCUGACGAAGAGCUCCGCUCGAAACGUUAGAUCCUCCUUUUCUGAGCGUCCAAUAACACUAUACUUGUUGCACGUCCUCGCAUUGUUCUUUUCUCUUUGUGUUUUCAUGUUUGGAUUAACUUUAUAUAUAUAUAUAUAUAUAUAUAUAUAUAUAUAUGCAUGUAUAUAUAUGUUUCUAUCUAUAUAUAAAUAUAUGCAUGUAUGUAUAUAUUUGUAUCUAUGUAUAUAUAUAUAUAUAUAUAUAUAUAUAUAUAUAUAAACCGUUUGUACUCUGUUGUACUCUUUCGCCCCAACUUUCUCUCACUCUUUCUUCCUGUUUCUUGAUGUGUAUAAGUGUGAGUAUAAGUGUGUUUGUGUGUGUGUGUGUGUAUAUGUGUGUCUUGUAUCUUUCAAUUUACAACCGAAUUCUGAAAUAUUUCUUCGUAUUAAUUUACUUGUCUAAAGCUUUCCCACGCCUUUUCUUCCAUUAAACUAAAAGCUUCUGUUUAUAUGUCAUGUCUAUCAAAUGUAACAUUACGUUUGUACUACGUUGCAUUUACUUAUUAAACUUUAUCAAGUUUUCAACCUUUCUCGACAAAAAUGCCCGAGAAUCUAAUUAAAACCUAUUCUUCGUAAUGGUAUUUGCCUAAUGUUACAACAUAAAAGCCAUCUAACAACUGUUUUAACGUUCUUGUUCAGUAAUUAUUAAAUACUAGAUUGUUCAUUUUAAUUAGUGCUGCACACGUAUCAGGCGUUUAAAUUUGUUAGUGUUAACAUAUUUCGUAUCCACUCAGGAGUUCUAUUUUCUCUUUCUCACACCGAACGACUUGAAAGAUUUCUAGGGUCAUCGUUCCUAUUGUAAAAAACAGUUACAAUAAAGAUGAACAGAUUGUUUAGCUGUUGUCUUCUUCCAAUCAUGACUCACGCCAUUAGCCACAAAGAAUAAUCCCUAAUUCGAGCCUACUCUAAGCUACAAAGAAUGCGUGUGGCAACUUGAAGAUCCAACCACCACACGCGAUAUACUGGCGCUUUGCACGGGAUCGAAAGCUACGUUGUUAUCCUCAUUCGGUAAACGGUGGCUUUUAACAGGUGGAGAGCUGAACCAUCCUCGGGUACAGAGGAUCCACAAUCUAGACUAGGGUCGGAAAGUUUACCACACCAUAGUGGGUUACACCAUGGUUCCUCUGCUUUGUGGCAGGAGUAGGAAGAAAGAGUGAGAGAAAGUUGUGGUGAAAGAAUACAGUGGAGUUCACCGCCGGAGACUCUUGGAGCUUAUGUGUUUUUGCUCAAUAAACACUCACAAUGCUCGGUCUGGGAAUCGAAACAGCGGGUCCGCUGCCCUAACCAGUGGGCCAAUGCUGCUCCACUUUUGCUGUUGUUAUGAUAGUUGUUAGUGUUUUUCUUGUGCAACAGAUUGACUUUAUAUUCAAUAGGUUUGGUAUGACCGUGUAAAAACUAUAUCUUUCGUGAUUGAAAGACAUGUGAUGGGAAAUCAAACAGCUGGUUUCGAAUUUUGGCACCAGCGGUCUAAGUUCGAGGGAGGAGCAAAUCGACUACAUUGGCGCCAGUGCUGUUCUGGUAAUUAUUUUAUCGACCUUGGAAGACUAAAGGGCAAAUUGGACCUCACUGGAAUGUAAACUUAAGAUUUUAAGACGGACGGAAUGCCGCUCAGGAUUUUUAGUGCAACAGAUUAACUUUAUAUUCAAUAGAUUUUGUAUGAACGUGUAAAAACUAUAUCUUUCGGGAUUGAAAGACAUGUUAUGGGAAAUCUAAUUGCUAUAAUGGCUGUCUUCCACUAUCUUCUAAUUACCGGCAAGCAAAAAAAUAUUAAUUAUUUUCUACUUUAUCAAAUAUUUUAUGGUAUUAAAUUCAACCUCAACCAAGUAUGGCGCCGGGUAUUGAUUUGAUUGACUGCACACAAAACAGCAUAUCUGGAAAUCCUUUUGGGUAAUUUGACUUGUUCAACUACACGAAGGAUGUUAUUAUUGUGCAUAGCAAAAGCAUCGUGCGGAAAAUCAGUCUAAUACAGAUGAGUAACUAAUCACUUCUAAUGAUAAUGUGCAUCGUCUAAGCGUCUGCCCAGUGUAAAAUAACAUACUGGUGAUGAUAUUUUGAAGGACGACUGUGAAUUUUAAGAUACCAUAUCUUGACACUAAACCUUGACAGAAAUCUCGUACAAGACAGAAGCCUCGAACAAGUCAAGGCGGUGAGCUGCCAGAAACGUUAGCACGCCGGGCGAAAUGCUUAGUGGUAUUUCGCUUACCGCUACGUUCUGGGUUCAAAUUCCGCCGAGGUCGACUUCGCUUUUCGUCCUUUCGGGGUCGAUAAAUUAAGUACCAGUUACGCACUGGGGUCGAUGUAAUCGACUUAAUACCUAUGUCUGUCCUUGUUUGUCCCCUCUAUGUUUAGCUCCUUGUGGGUAAUAAAGAAAUAGGUAUUUCGCUUGCCGCUACGUUCUGGGUUCAAAUUCCGCCGAGGUCGACUUCGCUUUUCAUCCUUUCGGGUUGAUAAAUUAAGUACCAGUUACGCACUGGGGUCGAUAUAAUUGACUUAAUCCGUUUCUCUGUCCUUGUUUGUCCUCUCCGUGUUUAGCCUCUUGUGGGUAGUAAAGAAAUAGGUAUUUCGUCUGCCGCUACGUUCUGAGUUCAAAUCCCGCCGAGGUUGACUUUGCCUUUCAUCCUUUCGGGGUCGAUAUAAUUAACUUAAUCCGUUUUCCUGUCCUUGUUUGUCCUCUCUGUGUUUAGCCCCUUGUGGGUAGUAAAGAAAUAGGUAUUUCGCCUACCGCUAAGUUCUGAGUUCAAAUUCCGCUGAGGUCGACUUUGCCUUUUAUCCUUUCGGGGUCGAUAAAUACAGUACCAGUUACGCACUGGGGUCGAUAUAAUCGACUUAAUCCGUUUGUCUAUCCUUCUUCGUCCCCUCUGUAUUUAGACGCUUGUGGGUAGUAAAGAAAUAGGUAUUUCACCUAACGCUACGUUCUGAUUUCAAAUUCAGCCGAGGUCGACUUUGCCUUUCAUCAUUUCGGGGUCGAUAAAUUAAGUACCAGUUACGCACUGGGGUCGAUGUAAUCGACUUAAUCGACUUAAUCACUUUGUCUGUCCUUGUUUGUCCCCUCUAUAUUUAGCCCCUUGUGGCAAUAAAGAAAUAAGAAACCUCGCACAAGUACUUAACGUGGUGGUGUGAGCGCUCUACAAUAUAUGCUUCCUCAAUAGCCAACACAAUUUUACGCCCUGCAAAGACUCAUCUGAGAACUCUCUACAUCUAAGAUGGUGGAAUGUUUUUGAUAUCAAAUCCUUGUUUGGUCAAAAUAUACUUCUGUUUUGUUUCUCUUAUUUACAAUUCUGUUAGCUCUAAUAUCUUAUCAUUAUCACGAAUUUGUUGUUGUUGGCAUCGGGAGACAAUGGAGUUGCGCAAAGAAUAAUCUAGUCUGGCUUUUACAUUUCAUAUCCUCAUACAUCUCCUGAUGUGGAUGUGUAGUCCUAUCCUGGACAAACACUCCCUCUGGCAGGUGCCGCAAAUAUAGCGAAGACUUUGCCUUGCCGGUUAUAAUGUCACGAAUUGAAUACCGUAAAAUAAAUAUGCAUUUCCAUAUUUUUUUUUUAAAUAUACCAGGUAAUUAAUACAGAUUCACCUUUAUUGUAUUUGAAAUUUUCUAUUUAUAACGCGGGAAUUAGCAAAUACAAAUACCCAUGUCUGCCUUGUUUCUCCCAUAAUUCACGCAGAAUACCGUGUAUGUUACUUGUACUAUAAGUCUACAAAUUUGGAACCAAAUAAAAAAAUAUGUGGAAAAAUCUUGUUUAAACUGGCAGCAUAUGCGUAAUUACUUGGAAAUAGAAGCAGCAUAUAUAACGACAAUCAUAUGCUAAAUAUAUGCGCAUAAUAUUCUAUUUUAUAUAGCAGCCAUAACUAGUUUCAUUGAUGCAUGAAUGAUAAAUAAACAUAUUUGAUUCUUAAAACCCUCAGGUGACAGACUUUCGUAUAUAGGACACUUGCAUGGAUUAUAGUUACGGGCUUCUUAUUUUUUUAUCAAGACAAAUUAGGUAUGCAAAUCAUCCCAAAAAGGACAAGUACUGUAAACAGGAUUAGCAUUAAAUGUCUUAUAUAAGCGUUAACCGUGCUUCAUCGUUACACUUAUUCGUAAGAAAUAAAAUACUUCCCAUGAAUAAUUUGAUUUGAAUUACUUUCAAUAUCUUUUAGCAAUUUUAUCAUCAUUUCAUUUAAUACGACACCAAUGUGUUUUCUACUUAAAGUCAAAUAUAAAAUUAUAUUAGGCUGUCCCAAAAUAUCGUAAACACUUGCGAAAAUUGAAUUUGAAAACAACAAAAAUUAUUCCUCAAAAUAAAGACCAUUAUUUUCCAAGACUUUCUACGAACUUUUGAGACAACCUUAUAUAAUAUAAAUAUAAAUAUAUACAAGUCCUCCAAUAUGACCCCAAUUGAGACACAACAAAUCUGAAAAUGAAUAGGGAAAAUAGACAGGAAUUGAAGAAAGGUGUAGAAGUCAAUUAUAAAAAAAAUGGCAAAUAUUAACGAACAUAUGAAAUAUCUAACACGAUAUAUCAUUUGCAGAACACGACGAUAAAGGGAUUUAUGGAAUCAGUAUUAUACAAUUAUUCAAAUAUUGUAGCGAUAAAAAAUAGUAACUCAGAACAAAUGAAUAAAUAGUAGAAAUGAUUCAAUAUAAAAUCCAUAAUUGAAUUUGAUAUCAGUUUCCUGAUAGACCUAAACAUUACAACAUCGUUGAUUCAGACACCUGUUAUAAUUUUCUGAGAUCAGUCAGCUAAAAGGGAAGACGUAAUGCAACAUUAAAAAACAGAAUAGUUACAAUAGGAAGAAAACUUGGAACUAAAUUAACUGAUGAAAAUGAGAUGCGCUGAGGAAAUAAAAUAAUCUUAAAUAUUCAAAAGACAUAAUAAAUAAAUAAAUAAAUAAUGAGCUGAUAUCACGAAGGAAUUUUUUCGAAUUCUUGCUUUUUGUUUUCUGUUAUCGUUUUAAUAUUUAAGUUUCCCUGAUUUUGUUCCCAAGUGAAAACUCUGUAUCUGGAGAGAUUUCUGGAAUAAAAAAAAUAGAUACUAGCUUAGGGAAAUGUUGAAUAAAAGAUGAACAUCAAAUUACAUUUUAAUUUCAUGAUUGCUAAGAUUUCAUAUAAUCCUACUUAAUUUAGAUAUUUUCGUAUAGUUUUUCGCUUUCAUGUUAAAUUCGCUCAAAUUAGUAUGCGUUUAUAUCUAUGUAUCUACCAUCGUACGCACAAUCACACAUGCGCACACACAGAAACACACACGCCCACGUAAAUACUCGCAUAUACACACAUACAUACAUACAUAUGCGUGUAUGUGUAUCACAGCAUGACUUAGCUCUCAAUUAUUGAAAGGGUUAUGGGCGUAGAACACUUUUAUGUCAUGAAAUGUUCGGAAGCACCUGCAACACAUACUCUUCAGUUAUGUAUGUAUAUAUAUAUAUAUGCGCUAUGCCGAACCACUUUGUUUUUCAUUCUUUCAAUAUUUAUUAUCUCUUAUCCUUUUUGUUGAAUACCUUCUGCACGAAACGUGAAAUGCUUUUUCCUCUUCUUGAGCGUCAAAAUUUAUACAAUUGGUUGUCGUACAUACACGUGUCCUCGUCUUUUGCUUUUAUAUAAAUUUCAACUAUAUAUAUGUAUGUAUAUCUAUAUCUGUCUGUGUGCCUGUCUGUCUGCCUGUCUGUCUCUAUGCAUGCAUGUAUGUAUGUAUGUAUGUGUUAUGUAUGUAUGUAUGUAUGUAUGUAUAUAGAUAUAUAUAUGGCGAUGUGACGUCUAUGUUUAGCAUAUUAGGUGUCCACUUUAGUGGCUAUUCAUCUAAAUUUUGUAUAUAUAUAUAUAUAUAUAUAUAUAAUUAAUUUUGGGCUCAAAAGGCAAAAAGCAAGGCCAUUUAGGGGGACAUUGAGUUAUGUACAGGGUGGUGUUCAUGUAAACAGUUCAGGCCACUUGUGGUCAAGGGAGACUUUGAUCCGAGCGGUCGUCGGCAUCUUCACUAUCUCGUCCGGCAGCUUAUUCCACGGAUCCGCAACCAGGACGGAGAAAGCCUCUCUCCUUCGAUUGAGAUGAAAUCGUCGCAGAUAGAGCUUUUUGGAAUGACUCCGCAGCUGACGCUCUGGAGCAGGAGUGAAGAACAGCUCUUUCGAGAGGUUACACUUUCCGCUUAUGAUGUUGUGAGCAAGAAUGAGAUCACCACGGCGUCGUCGUUUUUCUAGAGAAUAAAGGUCGAGCGUCUUCAGCCUUUCUUCAUAAGACAAAUUCUUGAGACCAAGAACCAUGCGGGUAGCCAACUUCUGGACUCUUUCGAGAUGCUGUAUGUCUUUGAGGAGAUAAGGAGAAGAGGCUUGAAUCCCGUACUCCAAUAUGGGUCUCACCAGCGUGACAUAGAGCGGUAGGAAUAUGGCUGCUGUGAGCAUUCCGAAUGACCGUCGAAUCAAGAACAUGAUGUUGAAUGUCCCACCCGUGUUGGAUCAAUGCUUAAAGUGUCGAAACAAUUGUCGUGAUUAACAGUAAGUUCUCGUAUAUUCCAUCUACCGUCAUUCAUUUGCGGCUAGUGCGAAGGAGGUUAUAUAUAUAUAUAUAUAUAAUGUAAAGUAUAGAACCCAUCUUAUCAUGCCUAACCACAUAGGGGAGGGGGUGUUACUGUAGCUUUAUAGCCCCAAGAGAUCGUCGUCUCUAGCUGGCUUUAGACACCAUAUCAGUGCCCUUGAAGUAUUUGCACGAUCUCUUGGGGCUAUAAAGCUACAGUAACACCCCCUCCCCUACGUGGUUAGCCAUGAUAAGAUGGCUUCUAUACUUUACAUUAUCGAGCGAUCACUGUUUCAAUCUCAUUCUGAGAUUUAGUUAUGCUAUAUAUAUAUAUAUAUAUAUAUAUAGUGUGUGUGUGUGUGUGUGUGUGUGUGUGUGUGUGUGUGUGUGUCUGCGUGUUUGUGUGCGUGUGUGUGUGUAUUAAAUGUGGAUAAUAACACGAUUACUUAUCCACCAUGAAUGUUUGUCUCACUAUUGUAGACUCUGCUAAUGAAUUACCUUUCACCUGAGUACACAUGAAUUUUAUGAAAUUGUCAGCAUCACACUCAUGAAAAUGUAUCUAUUUUCCCGUGAAUAUUUCUUUCACUUCUGUAAAUAAUAUAACUUCCUUCGAUUUCGAUUGUAAACGUCUUUAGAUAUGCUGUGCUACAAUAGCCAUUACACAUCAGGAAUUUGAGACAUUUCAGUAACUUCACUCGCUGCUUUCCUUUCUAAUCUUAUCACCCUUUGAUUAUCUGCCAACUUUCUUGCUAAACCCUUUUCAGUUAUUUACGAGCUCUUAAUAGCCCUCGUGUUAUAUGUCGAAAUCUUGCAAAACAAUUUAUUUUAUGACACCUCUUGCAAUCACCGGUGUGACACGUCUACAUUCAGGGAUACACCAGUAUCCCUAAAUGUGCAGUAUACAAUCCGCAACAGAUGGAUGCUAGAUGGGUCGAAUCAAUUUUAGUGAUCUAUAUAGAUUCUCGUAUCUUCCAUCUCCCGUCUGUCUCGUUGAUCAAAUACCGAGCACUCAGCCCGUAAACUAGCUCCACCGACAAACUACCAGGUGUAUACCAUACGUUUACUCCUCUUUCAGUCAUUUGACUGCGGCCAUGCUGGAGCACCGCCUUUUAGUCGAGCAAAUCGACCACGGGACUUAUUCUUUGUAAGCCCAGUACUUAUUCUAUCGGUCUCCUUUGCCGAACCGCUAAGGGACGGGGACGUAAACACACCAGCAUCGGUUGUCGAGCAAUGCUAGGGGGACAAACACAGACACACAAACACACACACACACACAUAUAUAUAUAUAUAUAUAUACAUAUAUACAACAGGCUUCUUUCAGUUUCUGUCUACCAAAUCCACUCACAAGGCAUUGGUCGGCCCAGGGCUAUAGCAGAAGACAUUUGCCCAAGAUACCACGCAGUGGGACUGAACCCGGAACCAUGUGGUUGGUUAGCAAGCUACUUACCGCACAGCCACUCCUGCGCCCAUUGACUAUUUAAUAUAUAUAUGCAGUACAAAUAAGUUAGAUAACUUAUAGUUAUGGGGUUAUCCUGGCUCUCACGUUUAUGAAGCGUUUAGCUUUACGGCGUGUAGUCAGAUCCCAAAAUCUCUUGGCUUAAGGUCUCUCUAUCGAGUAGUCUCUCUAAAAUAUGAAGCAUGAAAGAAACAUUUUUUAUACGCAUAAAGGACUACUACUAAAUUCGUGGAGAUAUGUUUUACCUUUGUCUCUCUACCUCACCCUCCUCUCUCUCUUUCCCUCUCUCUAUCGUAAGCACAAUCAAACACACAGACACAAACCUGUCACUUCACCACUGUUUCUUUUUGGCAUCUACCCAACCACACACACAAUCACGCACACACAUACACACACAUAGACACGAAUGCAGUUAUAUACAUACACACACAUAGACACUCAAUCACAAAAGAAAACAACAACAAAUCACCAUUCAUAUGACUUGCACCCUGUCACCUUCCUAUUCUUAGACCUCUCUCCUCCAACCUAGUUUGAACCCUUGAACUCUCUAGAAUCUUCUACAUUCAACCAUUUUUGACGUCACUGCUUAUAACGGAAUAUUUUAAAGAAACACUCAUUAUCGCUAUGGGCUCCGUGUGGGCAGUCAUCUAAGAGCUUUUGUUCACCUUGAUGCUGACAUAAGUUCCUUGUUUUUCCUGAUGAGAAGGCAGCAUAAUGCAUCCCUUAUUCCUUCGAAAUUAGGAAUAUGCAGCCUUCGAAACAUAUGUCGAGAAUAAAGGAAUUUUGUUAAAUCGUCGUUCAACUCCAUUCUUUCAUUUAUUUAUAUAUAUAUGUAUGUAUGUAUAUGUAUAUGUAGUCAUUACACGCAUUUUUUCUCUACUUGUUUCUCUCCUUGUUUUUUUUUUCUGUGUUCCUUUCUGUAGAAGAGCUUAGGCUCGAAACGUAAAAGAUGUUUUCACAUCCUGAGCGUUAUACUAAUACAUCUGUUUGUUUUCUACACCACUUGUCUUCGUCAUUUGCUUUUUGCGUGAACUCUUCCCACUAUAUAUAUAUAUAUAUAUAUAUAUAUAUAUAUAUAUAUAUAUAUAUAUAGUAGUAAUAUAUACUUGUAUAUUUGUAAUAUGUACACAUAUAUAUAUGUAUAUAUAUAUGUAUAUAUAUAUAUAUAUAUAUGUAUAUAUAUAUAUAUAUAUAUAUUAACCAUAAAUAUUAUGUAUGAAUAGAAAAAUCAGAAGCUGUCUAUGUCGUGUACUUUUAAGCCAAAUAAUUUGUGCGUGAGAGCACUCAAGUCGAUAAUGUAAUUUGUAAAAUGUGAAUGAAGAAUUUAUAAAGUCAAUAUGAAAGAAUAUUUUAUGGUUAUUCGAAAUAUAUGGGAAGUGAUAAAGCAGUAAUAGGUCUUAAAAUAUAGCAAACAGCGGGAAAAGAAAGGGGUGAAUGUCGAAUGAAGUGACAAGGGAAAUAAACCAAUCAUACGUCAAAGAAGUUAUAAACGAAACAUCGAAAGCGUAAGAAAUAUUGAGUAAAGCGAAGAAACAAAAAAAAAAAACAACAGAAAGAAGAUCGGAUGCAAUCACACGACAUCGCGUAAGAAAAUAAAGGGAAAAAAAUAUAUAUCUAGGAAGUGAACAACAUUGAAGCAAAAUAGAACUUGUGUACAAAGAGAUGAGAAAAGAUACAUCAAAGAUGAAGAAAUGAAAAGCAAAAAAAGAAAAAUGAAAGUGAAAGUAAAAUGAAUAUGAAAUAGGUUAAUAAAACGACACAUUGCAGACUAAUGUACUUUAGUGCUCCGCAGUACGUUCAGCUAAAUCCCACGUGUCUUCAUAAAUAGUAAGUGAAGUGAUUUAUAACCAUGAUGCGAGUGGAAAUAUGCUACGACUAAAGUAAUCUAACUUACCCUGUAUUGUCAUUUUGUGUGUUUGCUCCUGAUUACGUUAUAUUAAAUUUGUUGUCAAGAACGAUCAGUUCCUAUUUAUUACCACGCCACGCUACUAUUUGUCGUUUAUAGUUCCUACAAAAAUCGUUAUAAUUCUGUAUAAUUUGGUUUUAUAUAAAACUAGCAGUAUCGCCCGGCGUUGCUCGGGUUUGUAAGGGAAAUAACUAUAUAAGCAUUUUUAGAGAGUUAUAGCCAAAAAGUAGCAAAAAAAUGCAUUAAAAAUGGAAAAAAAUGAUGGUAAAUUUUUUUUGAAAUCGUUGACUCAUCGUAGACAUUUUUAGAGAGUUACUUCCCUUAUUUAAUAGCGAAAAAAAUGAAUUAAAAUGGAAAAAAAUGAUGGUAAUGUUUUUUUAAAUCGUUGACUCAUCGUAGACAUUUUUAGAGAGUUACUUCCCUUAUGUAAUAGCGAAAAAAUUGCAUUAAAAUGGGAAAAAAUUAUGGUAAUUUUUUUUUUAAAUCGUUGACUCAUCCUAGACAUUUUUAGAGAGUUACUUCCCGUAUGUAAUAGCGAAAAAAAUGCAUUAAAGUGGAAAAAAAUGAUGGUAAUUUUUUUUUUAAUCGUAGACUCAUCGUAGACGCGUGCUAAUACCCAGAAAGGCUCGAUAUGAAUCACGACUAUAAGAUACCCUGUUUUAGUUAAACUGCACCACAAAAUGUGGGAGUAGUUAGGAAUCUAAAUCGUAGGAGACAGACACACAACUUCACUUUUAUAUAUAACUAGCAGUAUCGCCCGGCGUUAUUUUUUUUUUAAAUCGUAGACUCAUCGUAGACUCGUGCUAAUACCCAGAAGGGCUCGAUAUGAAUCACGACUAUAAGAUACCCGGUUUUGGUUAAACUGCACCGCAAAAAUGUGGGAGUAGUUAGGAAUCUAAAUCGUAGGAGACAGACACACAACUUCACUUUUAUAUAUAAAGACUAGCAGCUAAGCCCGGUUUCACCCGGUCUGUUUGGAUGAUGUGGCUGUGAUCGCUUUCGGUUAGGCAUAUGUGGAGCUGGCAGAAACGUUAACACGCCAGGCGAAAUGCGUAGCCGUACUUCGUCUGCCACUAUGUUCUGAGUUCAAAUUCCGCCGAGGUCGACUUUGCCUUUUAUCCUUUCGGGGUUUUAUAAAUUAAGAACCAGUUACGCACUGGAGUCGAUGUAAUCGGUUUAAUCCCUUUGUCUGUCCUUCCUUGUCCUCUCUAUGUUUAGCCCCUUGUGGGUAGUAAAGAAAUAAUAUGUGAAUGAAAACAUUAAGUUCAGACCUGUACAUGGUAGCUAGACCUGGUAGAAAUAGCAGCCAAAUCUCCCUCAAAACACCCUACUGUCCUAAUCCGACAAUUCUGCCUAUUAUGUAGUUUGAAUGAGAAACUAACUAACGAUUAAGAUUUUUAACCCCUCAAAUAGGUGAAAGAAGAGAGACAGCAUAGCGAAAGUUUUGGCUGGCUGUCAUCCUGUACUCCCCUUGUUGCUAGCGAAACGGUAUAUGCCGGCUGUAUGAGCAACUGGUUGUUUUAAUGGCAGAACAAUCAGGGGAAUUCCAUUAGAAAACGUUUUAAUCGAUUUCCUCAAUAAUUAUGGGGGCUAGGGAAAAAAUACAAACCGCAUUCCAAUCUAUGCACCAUUCUCCACAUGUGUGCCAUUUUUCACGCGAAUCCGCCCAGCCGUUUGGCUGUGAACCUCAAGACAAGAAAAAAUACAAUGAUCACCAAUGUCCAAUUUAUAUUAUACAUUAGUGUGAAAAAUAAGAACGUCUCUACGUUGUGUUUCAGUAAAGAAAUUUCUAGGUUUAUAACAAUCAGGCCAUAAAAUAUAUGGGACAUCCAAAUUCGUGAUAUGUUCUUUGAAAUACUGGGGUGCAGGCAGCUCCUGAUAUGGUGUAAAUCAAACAGCUGGUUUCCUGUUUUGGCACCAGCGGUGUAAGUUCGAGGUGUAAUUUGGACAAGGGUCUUCACCUAUAGUCUCGGGCCGACCAAAGCCUUGUGACUCGACUACAUUGACACCAGUGCUGUACUAGUAAUUAUUUUAUCGACCCUGAAAGAAUAAAGGAUAAAUUGGACCUCACUGGAAUGUAAACUUUUAUGAUGGACGGAAUGCCGCUUAGGAUUUUUAGUGGCGUGGUAAAAAUUCUGAUAGCUCUUAGAUUUAAUUUAAAUGAAAAUAUUGGUCUCAGACUUAGAUACAAAAAAGAAAUUUCUAGUGAGGAGUUAAGUCGAUUACAUAUAUCCCAGGUGUGAACUGGUACUCAAUUUAUCAAGCCCGGAAUGUUUAAAUGAAAAGUUGACCUCAGUCGAAUUUGAACUCCGAACGUAAGGAUAAAGAGCCACUAAGCAUUCUAACGAUUGUGCCAAAUCGCCACCUUGAUGCAAAUGAAAUUAUUCUUCUCUACUCUAGGUACAAGGCCCGAAAUUUUGGGGGUGGGGUCCAGUCGAUUAGAUCGACAUCAGUACCCAACUGGUACUUAAUUUAUCGACCCCGAAAGGAUGAAAGGCAAAGUCGACCUCGGCGGAAUUUGAACUCAGACGUAUCGGCAAACGAAAUACCUAUUUCUUUACUACCCACAAGGGGCUAAACACAGAGGGGGUAAACAAGAACAGACAAAGGGAUUAAGUCGAUUACAUCGACCCCAGUGCGUAACUGGUACUUAAUUUAUCGACCCCGAAAGGAUGAAGAGCAAAGUCGACCUCGGCAGAAUUUGAACUCAGAACGUAGCGGCAGACGAAAUACUGCUAAGCAUUUUAUCCGGCGUGUUAACGUUUCUGCCAGCUCGCCGCCUUAAUGUAAAUGAAAUUAUUAAAAAUUCAAAUGAACCGGAAGGAUACACGACGUGGCGUUGAACAUAAAACACUCGUUUCCUGGCUAAGAUAUCGGAUUUACUUCAACGUGUGUCCUUCAUAGUAUUUUGAUCUCAUACAAAAAUCCAUACAGAAUAUAUAUUUUUUUCUUAAAUGUUUAUUUUUAUUUCAUGCAAGCCCUAUAAACAAGAAUAAGAUGACAAUUACUACACAACACUUUGUUGAUUUGUGCAAUAAACACCAUCCUUGCCUCACUGUGAUGUUCAUUAUAUUUUAAUCUGCAACAAAUCUUGUAACAAAAAUGGUGGUGUUUUGUACUUCUUAAAACAUAUUUGCAUUUCAUUUAAUACGUAUAAAUCGAGUGGCUGUGUGGUAAGUAGCUUGUUUACCAACCACAUGGUUCCGGGUUCAGUCCCACUGCGUGGCAUCUUGGGCAAGUGUCUUCUACUAUAGCCUCGGGCCGACCAAAGCCUUGUGAGUGGAUUUGGUAGACGGAAACUGAAAGAAGCCCGUCGUAUAUAUGUUUAUAUAUAAGUAUGUGUGUGUGUUUGUGUGUCUGUGUUUGUUCCCCUAGCAUUGCUUGACAACCGAUGCUGGUGUGUUUACGUCCCCGUUACUUAGCGGUUCGGCAAAGGAGACCGAUAUAAUAAGUACUGGGCUUACAAAAGAAUAAGUCCCGGGGUCGAGUUGCUCGAUUAAAGGCGGUGCUCCAGCAUGGCCGCAGUCAAAUGACUGAAACAAGUAAAAGAGAAAAAGAGAGUAUAUACUGCACAUGGUGUAGUCUUGCAAUAAGCAUCCUUCCUGCCCCGCUCGAAUGUUAUAUUUUAUUAUUUGUAAUGUUAUUACAAGUUCGAAUAUGCUAAUAGCACGUUCGUACAUAUAAACAAGUCGUUCACUGUGUUUUGUCUUGCAGAAAAUAUCUCGCGGUCAAAGCGGCUAGCUGGCAGAAACAUUAGCACGCCGGGCAAAAUGCUUAGCAGUAUUUCGUCUGCCGUUACGUUCUGAGUUCAAAUUCCGCUGAGGUCGACCUUGCCUUUCAUCUUUUCGGGGUCGAUAAACUAAGUACCAGUUACGCACUGGGGUCGAUAUAAUCGACUUAAUCCGUUUGUCUGUCCUUGUUUGACCUCUAUGUGUUUAGCCCCUUGUGGGUAGUAAAGAAAUAAGAAACGUUAGCACGCCGGGCGAAAUGCUUAGCGUUAUUUCGUCUGCCGUUACGUUCUGAGUUCAAAUUCCGUCGAGGUCGACUUUGCCUUUCAUCCUUUCGGGGUCGAUAAAUUAAGUACCAGUUAAGCACUGGGGUCGAUGUAUUAGAAUUAAUCCGUUUGUCUGUCCUUAUUUGUCCCCUCUAUAUUUAGCUACUUCUGGGUAAUAAAGAAACAAGUAUUUCGUCUGUCUUUACGUUCUGAGUUCAAAUUCCGCCGAGAUCGAGUUUGCCUUUCAGCAUUUUGGGGUCGAUAAAUUAAGUACCAGUUAAGCACUGGGGUCGAUGUAUUCGACUUAAUCCCUUUCUCUGGCCUUGUUUGUCUCUUCUAUGUUUAGCCCCUUGUGGGCAGUCAAGAAAUAAGUAUAUAUCUCGCGGUUGACCAACUGUGUAAAUAAACGCAAAACAGCUCGUAACAUUUUAUUUACUUCGAAAAUUGAGGGAUACUUUUAUUCAUUAAUGUUACAACAAUAUUAAAUCAUGGUUAAAUAAGAAGAAAUUCUCCUUAAAUACUUAUUUUCUAUGUGAUAUUCUUAACACUUGAAUCCUACACCCUAACCCUAAAACGUUCACUGUAAACGUUUAUCUUAAACAUUCACCAUAAACACUAAUCUUUAUCCUGAACAUAAAAUGCUAACACUAAUCGAAAGUCAUUUGUUUUGUUUUGAGUAUUUCGAAAAUUCUUACAUUUCGUACAUGUAAUUCUGGAAAUGCAUUCUGGAAAAUAUUACAGAUGCCCCAUGUUGCGUCUUCCGAAGCAGAAUUGACAUUAAUUAAUUAUUUUUUUAAAAAAAUAUACUCUUUUACUUGUUUCAAUAACUUUGGCUGCGGCCAAGCUAACACAACGCCUUUAGUCGACCAAAUCAACCCAGGACUUAUUAUUUGUAAGCCAAGUACUUAUUAUAUCGAUCUCUUUUGCCGAACUGUUAAGUUAUACAAGACGCAAACACACCAGCAUCGGUUGUCAAGAGAUGUUGGGGGGGAUAAAACACAGACUCAGAAAGACACACACACACACACUCACAUAUAUAUAUAUAUAUAUAUAUAUAUAUAUAUAUAUAUAUAUAUACAUAUAUGUACGACGGGAUUCUUUCCGUUUCCGUCUACCAAAUCCACUCACAAGGCUUUAGUCGGCCCGAGGCUAUAGUAGAAGACUCUUACCUAAGGCGCCUCGCAGUGGGACUGAACCUGGAACCAUGUGCUUGGUAAGCAAGCUACUUGCCCCAUAGCCACUCCUAUGCCGUAUAGUGUAAAUAUAUAGUGUAAAUUUAUUUCAUAAUCAGAAUUCAAUAUAUAUUAUUAUAUAACGGUAAUUAUGAAAGGCUGGAAUAUGGGAUUUCUAUUGCACAAAUUGCCCAUAGCAUAUUAUUACAUGUAUAAAAUUAUCGUUUUAUUCAGGUUAAGAUAGGUUAAGACAUCGUUGUGUUAUUAAGGUUACCAAUGCACAGUCUCAAGUUCUCAAUUGUAUUCUAGUUAUUCUAUACUGAUGAAAAUAUAGACACCUACACUGUUACACGUUCCUCUUACACUCAACUCUCUCUACACACACAAAGCACCACACAUACAAAGCCCUUCCACUAUAAUGUCACCCAGCCCAACAAAGCUCACCAGCCACCAAAACAGAACCUAGAUUAUAUGACACGAUAUUUCACUUUCAUUUCCAAUAUAUUUUUGUAUCGUGAGCGAUUGAAUGUUUGCGAUUGUUAACAUCUACUUCAUGGAAAGCAGAAAAUUACUUUUCUUUGUUUAUGAAUGUUUUCGCAGAAGAAUGAAAAGAAAAAUCCUGUCUUCUUCUAAUGUACAUUAAAGUGACGGGAUUCCUCCAUUUAUUGAUCAACAGACAUGUGUUGUUCGUAAACAUGUAAGUGUGCGUGUCUUGACGUCAUUUAAAAUUGCUUUCCUUUUCUGAAAGGCUGAAAGGUAGCUUUCUUUGUAGAUGUAACGAAGAUCAAUAUCCUUUUUUUUAUUUCUUUCGUUGUCCAAUUCUCAGAAUAUGCCGGAAAUUAUUUUAGGCGAAAGAAUAAUAGCUCUAUAUUAGUCGAAGCAAGUCACGUCCACGACGGACUGUUUCUUUGAAAUCGCAAAACCAGAAACACUUCGUUUACAAAAUUUGAAUUUUAGUAUUUAUAACGAUGAUACGUGGAAAAGGAGGUUAAAAAAAAAGAAUUAAAAAUAGCUGUUUAUUCGAAUAGUGGAUUCAGCCAUUAGCUAACUGCAAAAGUGAAUAACAAGCGUCGAAAAUAUUUGGAAGAAAGUGGACUGGAAACCACGGCACUUACUGCAGUCCUGCUUUUUACAACUCUUUACUCUUUUACUUGUUUCAGUCAUUUGACUGCGGCCAUGCUGGAGCACCACUUUUAAUCGAGCAACUCGACCGGGGACUUAUUCUUUGUAAGCCCAGUACUUAUUCUAUCGGUCCCUUUUGCCGAACCGCUAAGUGACGGGGAUAUAAACACACCAGCAUCGGUUGUCAAGCAAUACUAGGGGGACAAACACAGACACACAAACAUACACGCACAUAUAUAUAUAUAUAUACGACGGGCUUCUUUCAGUUUCUGUCUACCAAAUCCACUCACAAAGCUUUGGUCGGCCCGAGGCUAUAGUAGAAGACGCUUGCCCAAGGUACCACGCAGUGGGACUGAACCCGGAACUAUGUGGUUGGUAAUCAAGCUACUUACCACGCAGCCACUCCUGCGCCUGUAUGUGUGUAUGAAUGUAUAUAUUCGGCAGUCACUUCCAAAUGAAUAUGAAUUUUUUAAAAGCAGGGUCCAUGCUUUCGUUAAUGGUUUCAAGUGGCUAAAUAAAUGCGAUGAGACGGAGUCUUUCAAUGAAAGGAAUCAUGUUGGAUAUGACACUGAGUGAAUAGAAAAUAACGCUUCACCACAGGUUCGAUACUAUAUUUAUUUGGUAGCAAAUUUGCGGUGAAAAUUAUUCUAGGUAGGUGAUUAAAUAGGUAACCUUAAUAAUUAUCGUAACGGCUUUUGAAUAUCAACAAUAUUCAAGAAUAAUAACUCGACAAUUAUCUAUCUAAUUAACCCUUAAGAUAUAUGACUGAAGUUUUUAGUAGCCUAAAAUCUUUCAGUUAGGUGAUACAAAAACAGGGACAACAAAACAUCCACACAGACGAUACAAAGAAAGCAGAAAAGGCACUGAGGGAAUCAUCCAGCCAAAUUAUUUAUAUAAUAAUGGGAAGCAAAUACACCAGCAUCGGUUGUCAAGCGAUGUUGGGGGGAUAAAAACACAGACAUACAAAGACACACACAGUCAUAUAUAUAUAUAUAUAUAUAUAUAUCACAAUCAAGGAAUGGCCAUAAUAGGCCAUUCACCCACUAGAAAUAUUUCUAGUGGGUGAAUGCCCUAUUAUGGCCAUUCCUUGAUUGUGAUGUUGAACUUAUAAAUGGUCUAUGACUAUUUAAUUUGUUUCCCACUAGGCCGCUGGUGGCAAAUAAAUUCUACGAAAUUUUUUGCCACCCUAUAUUGAUUAAUAUAUAUAUAUAUAUAUAUAUAUAUACAUAUAUGUACGACGGGAUUCUUUCAGUUUCCGUCUGCCAAAUCCACUCACAAGGCUUUGGUCGGCCAGAUGCUAUAGUAGAAGACUCUUACCUAAGGCGCCUCGUAGUGGGACUGAACCUGGAACCAUGUGUUUGGUAAGCAAGCUACUUGCCCCACAGCUACUUGUCCAAUUUAAGACAGUGGAAGAGGGGAGGAGGCUGGCGAGUGUAGCGGCGAGGACACAGGAAGUGAUGUUUCUGCCCACGUAUCUUGGACGUACUUUGCCCACAUAUCUUGGACUUCCAAGGUGAGGGUAGAAGGAAUUCCACCCGAUGAAGAAGUGGCAUGGGUUACGGCAGCCGUCCUCGUUGGCUGACCUCCAAGCUACGAACACGGACGAAGGAGGAUAGAGAGGAAAAACCCUGAACCUCAUUAUACAGGCAGAGGAGAGUUUGGCGGAAAUAGUGACGUUGGGAGAGAUUGUAUUAACAGUUUGGGUGGCGGGCAGAGUCGCACGAUGUUUUAAAUGGGGCCAAAAGUGCCACAUUAGAGCGCACUGCCCUCCGCAAAGGAAAAUAACAGAAGAAGCGGUUGUGAAAAAGGAAGAGGAAAGGGAAGAAGAGUAGACAGACGGAAGGAACAAGGAGGGAGAGUGGAUAGUGACAGAGAGUAAAAGGAAGAAGAGGAAGAUAAGGAAGAACAGUGAGUAUGGUGUGGUACACUAGAACAACUUCAUCCCACCUAAGACCACUCAAACCCACCCUCCUCAUACAGACACCAAACCCCUUUCCCCACAGGAAAAGAAAAAGAAGUACAGCCACCACAAAAUUUACAAGUCCCCUCCCCCGGUUAAAAUGGGUACGUUUACAUAGAGGAAAGAGUGUUGUCACUCAGCGAUGGAGAAAGCAGAAUAAGAAGGACUGGACUAGGGACUAAAGAGGACUUAGGACUCAGAGGUAGCGAGUGGUGUUACUCAGUGUGGGGUGAGUAACACACUUUUCAUAUUCUCAUUUUCACGAUAUCAUUCAUGUAAUCAUAACUUUACUAUUUUGAUUUUAUUUUUUCAUGUUCAUUUUCAUGUGUCAUUUAUAGUAACAUAGUAUCAUAUUUUAAUUUUAUAUAAUUUUAAUUGCUAUAUGUCCCCACAUGUUUUGUAGUAUGCCCUCUAUGUUAUGCCUUUAUGGCAAAGUUUU